GAUGAACGCUAGCGGCAGGCUUAACACAUGCAAGUCGAGGGGUAUAGGAAGCUUGCUUCCUAGAGACCGGCGCACGGGUGCGUAACGCGUAUGCAAUCUACCUUUUACAGAGGGAUAGCCCAGAGAAAUUUGGAUUAAUACCUCAUAGUAUCUUUGCCUGGCAUCAGGCGAUUAUUAAAGUUCCAACGGUAAAAGAUGAGCAUGCGUCCUAUUAGCUAGAUGGUAAGGUAACGGCUUACCAUGGCGACGAUAGGUAGGGGUCCUGAGAGGGAGAUCCCCCACACUGGUACUGAGACACGGACCAGACUCCUACGGGAGGCAGCAGUGAGGAAUAUUGGACAAUGGGCGCAAGCCUGAUCCAGCCAUGCCGCGUGCAGGAAGAAGCAUCUAUGGUGUGUAAACUGCUUUUGUACGGGAAGAAACACUCCUACGUGUAGGAGCUUGACGGUACCGUAAGAAUAAGGAUCGGCUAACUCCGUGCCAGCCGCCGCCGUAAUAC
rnacentral:rRNA from 1 species